AUUGAACGCUGGCGGCAGGCCUAACACAUGCAAGUCGAACGAGUGGCGGACGGGUGAGUAAUGUCUGGGAACCUGCCUGCUGGAGGGGGAUAACUACUGGAAAAGUUUGCUAAUACCGCAUACCAUCGGAUUUGCCCAGAUGGGAUUAGCUAGUAGGGGGGGUAAAGGCUCACCAAGGCGACGAUCCCUAGCUUGUCUGAGAGGAUGACCAGCCACACUGGAACUGAGACACGGCCCAGACUCCUACGGGAGGCAGCAGUGGGGAAUAUUGCACAAUGGGCGAAAGCCUGAUGCAGCCAUGCCGCGUGGAUGAAGAAGGCCUUCGGGUUGUAAAGUACUUUCAGUGGGGAGGCGUUACCUGCAGAAGAAGCACCGGCUAACUCCGUGCCAGCAGCCGCGGUAAUAC
rnacentral:rRNA from 1 species